rnacentral:rRNA from 1 species
UACGUAGGGGGCAAGCGUUGUCCGGAUUUAUUGGGCGUAAAGGGCUCGUAGGCGGCUCGGUAAGUCGGAUGUGAAACCUCCAGGCUCAACCUGGAGACGCCAUCUGAUACUGCCGUGGCUUGAGUCCGGUAGAGGAGCAGGGAAUUCCUGGUGUAGCGGUGAAAUGCGCAGAUAUCAGGAGGAACACCAGCGGCGAAGGCGCUGCUCUGGGCCGGUACUGACGCUGAGGAGCGAAAGCGUGGGGAGCGAACAGG